GACGAACGCUGGCGGCGUGCCUAAUACAUGCAAGUUGAGCGCUGAAGACUGGUACUUGUACCGGUUGGAUGAGCAGCGAACGGGUGAGUAACGCGUGGGUAACCUGCCCUAUAGAGGGGGAUAACUAGAGGAAACUUUAGCUAAUACCGCAUAAAAUCUAAUAACACAUGUUAUAAGAUUGAAAGUGCCAACUGGUACACUAUAGGACGGACCCGCGUUGUAUUAGCUAGUUGGUGAGGUAAAGGCUCACCAAGGCGAUGAUACAUAGCCGACCUGCGAGGUUGAUCGGCCCCCCUGGGAAUGAAACCCGGCCCAGACUACUACGGGAGGCAGCAGUAGGGAAUCUUCGGCAAUGGACGAAAGUCUGACCGAGCAACGCCGCGUGAGUGAGGAAGGUUUUCGGAUCGUAAAACUCUGUUGUAAGAGAAGAACACCAGUAAGAGUGGAAAGCUUACUGGCUGACGGUAUCUUACCAGAAAGCCACGGCUAACUACGUGCCAGCCGCCGCCGUAA
rnacentral:rRNA from 1 species